AGUCCCGCAACGAGCGCAACCCUUGCCUUUAGUUGCCAGCAUUAAGAAGGGCACUCUAGAGGGACUGCCAGUGAUAACCUGGAGGAAGGUGGGGAUGACGUCAAAUCAUCAUGCCCCUUAUGCUUAGGGCUACACACGUGCUACAAUGGGUGGUACAGAGGGCAGCCAAGUCGUGAGGCGGAGCUAAUCCCUUAAAGCCAUUCUCAGUUCGGAUUGUAGGCUGAAACUCGCCUACAUGAAGCUGGAGUUACUAGUAAUCGCAGAUCAGAAUGCUGCGGUGAAUGCGUUCCCGGGUCUUGUACACACCGCCCGUCACACCACGGAAGUUGGGGGCGCCCGAAGCCGGAUUGCUAACCUUUUGGAAGCGUCCGUCGAAGGUGAAAUCAAUAACUGGGCCGUUAGUCAGGGCAAGGUAACCGUA
rnacentral:rRNA from 1 species